rnacentral:rRNA from 1 species
GACGAACGCUGGCGGCGUGCUUAACACAUGCAAGUCGAACGAAGUGGCGAACGGGUGAGUAACGUGUAUUCCACCUGCCCUUCAGAGGGGGAAAACAGUUGGAAACGACUGCUCAUACCGCAUACUGAAGGAGGGGCUUUCGUCGGAUUAGCGAGUUGGCGGGGUAACGGCCCACCAAGGCGAUGAUCAGUAGCCGGUCUGGGAGGAUGGACGGCCAAAUUGGGACUGAGUAACGGCCCAGACUCCUACGGGAGGCAGCAGUGGGGAAGCUUCCGCAAUGGACGAAAGUCUUACGGAGCAACGCCGCGUGAGUGAUGACGGCCUUCGGGUUGUAAAGCUCUGUUAAGCGUGACGCAGUACCGGAAUAGAAAGCCACGGCUAACUACGUGCCAGCAGCCGCGGUAAUAC